rnacentral:rRNA from 1 species
UAGACCUGAAAUCAGUCGAGGUUACCCGCAAGAAUUUAA